GACGAACGCUGGCGGCGUGCUUAACACAUGCAAGUCGAACGGAAAGGCCCCUUUGGGGGUACUCGAGUGGCGAACGGGUGCGUAACACGUGAGUAACCUGCCCUUGACUUCGGGAUAACUUCAGGAAACUGGGGCUAAUACCGGAUAGGAAUCCUUGCUGCAUGGGGGGGGUUGUAAAGCUUCGGCGGUUUUGGAUGGGCUCGCGGGUUAUCAGCUUGUUGGUGGGGUAGUGGCUUACCAAGGCGUUGACGGGUAGCCGGACUGAGAGGGCGACCGGCCACACUGGGACUGACAUACGGCACAGACUCCGAAGGGAGGCAGAAGGGGGGAAUCUUGCACGAUGGGCGGAAGGCGGAUGCAGCAAGGCCGCGGGCGGGAAGACGGCCUUCGGGUUGUAAAACGAUUUCAGCAGGGGCGAAGCUUGUGGUGACGGUACCUGCAGAAGAAGCACCGGCUAACUACGUG
rnacentral:rRNA from 1 species